AAAAAAUUCAAGCUACAGUUAAGAAACAGCUUCUUAAUAGGCUUAGGAAUCAUAUAGUUGAAGGUCAAGUUUAUAGAAUGGCAUACUUUACUCUUGUGUCAAAUCAUGGUAGCUAUAGAGCAACUUCUCAUGAAUUCAAAUUGGUUUUCCUUCAUCGAAUCACUGUUGUACCUGUUGAUGAAGAUGUUAUCCCAAAGACUUGUUUCAACAUGUUUCCUUUUUCUGACCUGCUAAACAUGACCCAAGAUUAUGAUUUUUUUGUUGAUGUCAUUGGUCUUUUAACUUCAGUGGGUGAAGAGAAAGAAUAUGCAAAAGAGGAAAAAAUUGUGAAAAUGAUUGUGCUCGAAUUAACUUCAAAAGAAUAUGUUGAUUCAGUCAUUUAUGGUGGUUUCUCUUUAUCUUUUAAUCAUCUUUUUUUCUUAUUUUCUGUUUCAUUCUUUCUCAUGUUUUGAGUUUCAGUCUUACAGUACGUUGUGCAGUGUUUGGGGACUAUGUUAAUCAAGUAAAUUAUUUCCUAGUCUCUGGCUAUGUGGAGCAGUCUGUUGUUGUCAUUCAACUUGCAAAAGUCAAGUUCUUUAGGGGUCAAGUAGGUCUCCAAAAUGUGAUGUAUGCCACUCAAAUGUUAUUUAAUCCUGAUAUUCCUGAAGUUGUUGAAUUCAGGCAGAGUAUGAUUGAGCAAGGUGUCAAUGGUACCCAGCCACUGUUUAUCACAAAUGAGGGUAAAGUUGUCUCCUUGGAAGAUGAUUUCAUGCGUUUAACUAGAAGAUGCACUAUUGAAGAGCUCCAGGAUAACAAUGAGGUUG